rnacentral:rRNA from 1 species
GACGAACGCUGGCGGCGUGCUUAACACAUGCAAGUCGAACGGAAAGGCCCUGCUUUUGUGGGGUGCUCGAGUGGCGAACGGGUGAGUAACACGUGAGUAACCUGCCCUUGACUUUGGGAUAACUUCAGGAAACUGGGGCUAAUACCGGAUAGGAGCUCCUGCUGCAUGGUGGGGGUUGGAAAGUUUCGGCGGUUGGGGAUGGACUCGCGGCUUAUCAGCUUGUUGGUGGGGUAGUGGCUUACCAAGGCUGUGACGGGUAGCCGGCCUGGGAGGGUGACCGGCCACAUUGGGACUGGGAUACGGCCCAGACUCCUACGGGAGGCAGCAGUGGGGAAUAUUGCACAAUGGGCGGAGGCCUGAUGCAGCAACGCCGCGUGCGGGAGGACGGCCUUCGGGUUGUAAACCGCUUUCGCCUGUGACGAAGCGUGAGUGACGGUAAUGGGUAAAGAAGCACCGGCUAACUACGU